AUUGAACGCUGGCGGCAUGCCUUACACAUGCAAGUCGAACGGUAACAGGUUAAGCUGACGAGUGGCGAACGGGUGAGUAAUGUAUCGGAACGUGCCCAGUCGUGGGGGAUAACUACUCGAAAGAGUGGCUAAUACCGCAUACGACCUGAGGGUGAAAGCGGGGGACCGUAAGGCCUCGCGCGAUUGGAGCGGCCGAUAUCAGAUUAGCUAGUUGGUGGGGUAAAAGCCCACCAAGGCGACGAUCUGUAGCUGGUCUGAGAGGACGACCAGCCACACUGGGACUGAGACACGGCCCAGACUCCUACGGGAGGCAGCAGUGGGGAAUUUUGGACAAUGGACGCGAGUCUGAUCCAGCAAUGCCGCGUGCAGGAAGAAGGCCUUCGGGUUGUAAACUGCUUUUGUCAGGGAAGAAAUCCUCUAGGUUAAUACCCUUGGGGGGAUGACGGUACCUGAAGAAUAAGCACCGGCUAACUACGUGCCAGCCGCCGCCGUAACAC
rnacentral:rRNA from 1 species